UUUCUAGGAGCGAAUUUCGAACUUCAUCAGGAAGAAUAGACCAUAAAGGAUGAUCAGAAGUCAACGUUACCGGAUGAAAGGAAAAUCCUUGUGGUAAUGCUUUAGUGUAAUAAGGAGAUAUUUCCAAAUUCGAAUGAACGUCUUCACUUAUUAACCAAGACAAAAACUGAAACGAAGUCAAUUUAUCGCGAAAGGAGUACCGACUGCAAGUUCGUUUAUUGAUUAGUAUAUUUGGUGGUAACU